rnacentral:rRNA from 1 species
GACGAACGCUGGCGGCGUGCUUAACACAUGCAAGUCGAACGGAAAGGCCCUGCUUUGUGGGUGCUCGAGUGGCGAACGGGUGAGUAACACGUGAGUAACCUGCCCUUGACUUUGGGAUAACUUCAGGAAACUGGGGCUAAUACCGGAUAGGAGCUCCUGCUGCAUGGUGGGGGUUGGAAAGUUUCGGCGGUUGGGGAUGGACUCGCGGCUUAUCAGCUUGUUGGUGGGGUAGUGGCUUAUCAAGGCUUUGACGGGUAGCCGGCCUGAGAGGGUGACCGGCCACAUUGGGACUGAGAUACGGCCCAGACUCCUACGGGAGGCAGCAGUGGGGAAUAUUGCACAAUGGGCGGAAGCCUGAUGCAGCAACGCCGCGUGCGGGAUGACGGCCUCGGUGUAACGACUUCGUCCUCGUGACGAAGACGUGAGUGACGGUAAUGGG